rnacentral:rRNA from 1 species
CCUACGGGUGGCAGCAGUGGGGAAUAUUGCACAAUGGGCGCAAGCCUGAUGCAGCCAUGCCGCGUGUGUGAAGAAGGCCUUCGGGUUGUAAAGCACUUUCAGCGGGGAGGAAGGCGUUAAGGUUAAUAACCUUGUCGAUUGACGUUACCCGCAGAAGAAGCACCGGCUAACUCCGUGCCAGCAGCCGCGGUAAUACGGAGGGUGCAAGCGUUAAUCGGAAUUACUGGGCGUAAAGCGCACGCAGGCGGUCUGUCAAGUCGGAUGUGAAAUCCCCGGGCUCAACCUGGGAACUGCAUUCGAAACUGGCAGGCUAGAGUCUUGUAGAGGGGGGUAGAAUUCCAGGUGUAGCGGUGAAAUGCGUAGAGAUCUGGAGGAAUACCGGUGGCGAAGGCGGCCCCCUGGACAAAGACUGACGCUCAGGUGCGAGAGCGUGGGGAGCAAACAGGAUUAGAUACCCCAGUAGUC